rnacentral:lncRNA from 1 species
UGCCCAUAUUGGUUUUUCAUUCUUCUUACUUACAGGUUGCACUUUGUGUUCUCCAUCUCCACAUUGAUGCAUCUGUCAAAGCCUUCGCUCUAGUUCUGUCACGGCAUGGGCUGGUUCCUACAGGACUUUUGGCUUGGAGCUACAUAAGGGCCAAUCACUUGAUAGCAGGAAGAUAUUGGAUCCUUACUUCCCUCUCUGCUAUGCAUGCUGUGGUCUCUUGAAGUCCAUUGUACCUGGCUGGGAUCCUUGCAAUCUGGGACAGGAAGGUGAAUGAAGAAAGGGGUGCUACAAGGAAAUGUAUAUUAGUGCCCUGAUGAUGCUCCUUCUAGAUAAAAACGUGUGUUAUGGGAAUUGUUUUCAGGUGAGUUAACAUUGAAAU